AACAAAACGUCGUCACCUGUCUCCAUCUCCACCUUGUUUCAGGAUAAACAGAAGAUGAAGAACAUCAGGAGACGGAGAGAAGAGAGAAGAGGUGAAGUCGGAGCUCUGUAGUGAUGGAGAUGGCGGCUAUGACGACCAUGAAAGGAGGAGAGAGUAGCGGCUUAAAGUUAGGUUUUUGGAAACUGGGUUUCAUAGAUAGAGGUUGUGCGGCGGAGGAGGUAGAGCGGGGGAGGAAGUGCGGAGGAGGCGGUGGGAAGGAGUUAGGGUUUUUUAGAUUUUGUUUUUAAACUCGGUUUGUAUGUAAACUGGUUUAAUUUGUUAACCGAAAUUUUUUGUAAUCUGGUUUAAUUUAUAAACCGAUUGUAAACCAAAUUUUUAAUAUAAACCAAAAUCAUUUAUAAACCGGUUUAAUUUA